GAGUGUUACAGAAGUUAAACAAGGCGACCCGAAUCUGGAUUAUCUAUCUAGAGUGUGUAGAUCUGAACCAUCAAAAAAGAGACGGCAACGCAGAUGAAAGUUAAAGCUCCUAUCGUCUAGUGGAAAUGUAAAGGAACUUGAAGGGGAGGCAUAAGCAACAGUGGCACAUUUGUACAAAAAUGUGUAAAGGCUCUACAGUUUACUAAUGCCAUUUUUGGAUGCAUGUUUACUAGACAGAUAUAUCUUUUUGUUUCUUAGAACAGCUUGCAAGCUAUGAUGUUU
rnacentral:misc_RNA from 1 species